AAGAAAGCUUGCUUUCUUUGCUGGCGACCGGCGCACGGGUGAGUAACACGUAUCCAACCUACCCUUUACUCGGGGAUAGCCUUUCGAAAGAAAGAUUAAUACCCGAUAGCAUAAUGAUUCCGCAUGGUUUCAUUAUUAAAGGAUUCCGGUAAAGGAUGGGGAUGCGUUCCAUUAGGUUGUUGGUGGGGUAACGGCCCACCAAGCCUUCGAUGGAUAGGGGUUCUGAGAGGAAGGUCCCCCACAUUGGAACCGAGACACGGUCCGAACUCCUACGGGAGGCAGCAUG
rnacentral:rRNA from 1 species